rnacentral:lncRNA from 1 species
UUAAUUAAUAAAAGUCCUAAGGGUGCGUUUGGUUCGAAUUAUCCUGGCAGGAUUACAGGCAAUCCUGGCAGGAUAACUGUGUUUGGUUAAUCCGCUAUAUAAUCUAGUCGUUAAUAUAGUAUUACAAAUCGAGCAGGAUUACAUCGAAAAUAUUAACGGGAGGGGGUCGUGUAUCUUGCAUUACUGAAAUCCGUUAAUACUACAUAUUAUGUAAAAUGACAAUUUUACUCUCCAACAACUCUAAAUCUAAUUAACAGCAUUAUUUUUAUCUCUCUCUCGCCUUCUCUCUCCUCUCUCUCGCAUGCCGCUUUCUCUCGCUCUUUCUCUCUCUCACGUCUCUCUCUCUCUCUUGCGCGAGCGCACGAACACCUAUCAUCUUCUAUUGCGUCGUCCUCCCAGGUCUUCCCUCUAUUCGUCAUUUCCGUAAAAAAUAAUAUUCAAAUGACCACAACAAAGGCAAUUUUGGAAAAAACUAUACUUUUAUGUUAGGAUUACUAAAUUUUAUAAAUUGAACCAAACGUAUUAAUGCUAUAAACAUUGUAAUCUAGUAUUAUAUUACUGUAUUAAACCAAACGCGUUAAUGUAGCAUCAGUAGUAAUCUCACGUCGAAAUUUAAAAUACCUGGAUAUGUCGAGAUACUUUGUAAUAUUACAUAACUCGAACCAAACGGGCCCUAAAAGGUAACAAACACUACACUAGAGCACAG